GGCACAAAGAUGAUAUAGUGGAGGCCGUUGGGAGGUGGCCAUCUCCCCGGCUGGAGAAAGAUGUAGGUGACCGUGGGAGAGCACCAUCUCCACGGCACUUGGUGUUCAGAUAUGGCAAAGUAUGAAAGAACUUAGACUGCGCAGUCGAACAAAGAUUUUAGUUGAGCAGUGACGGUGGGGAAUGCUGAGAAGAGUUUAUGACUUUCUUUAUAUUUUAAGCAGAGGCUCUCAGAGGUGCAUGUCUCCAUACAUGUGACCGUGUUCAUUCCGCUGCGUAUUGUUCUUCUAUACUCUGAUAAAUAUUUAUUGAAAAGAUCUCCAUUCGAGUUCUUAUGAUUAAAAGUUAAUUUGAAGUUGUUUCCCUCUUUAUUUCUGAGUGGAUAUUCAGAUAUUGUUUACCCCCUUUCUGUUCCCCUCUUCUUAUCUCCCACCCCUAGUCACGGGUUCCCGGCUUUGCUAUCCCUAGCAAAGUGCGGUCGUGACAGAGUGGUAUCAGAGCAGUUUCUUUGAUGCUCUGAACCAAAGAGUCUCUUUUCAGUUACUAGUCUAGACUUGUUCAACUAGACUAUCUAAUUAUUAAACGAACACUCAACAUUCCCACCAAUCCUGCUCAACGAGGGAAUAAGGUAAUUUUUUUCUUUCUUUUAAAAAAGUGAAGUAGAGAUGUUCAAAAAGUUGGAAAGAGACGGACGACGGUCAAUUGAACGGGUCCGAUAUGAAAAUAUGAGAUUUUAGAAAAUAGAUGAUGAGUUUUGUGAGGCAGUUGUUUCAAGCGAAGGAAUAAAAAAAAAAAAGAGAAUUUAGAGAAAGAUAAGUUUUAUCGAGUAGAGCCUCGGAAGAAAGAGUUGAAAGUGUGAGUUAUAAAGAAAAGAGUAAUUUGUUACUUUCAAGAAAGAGUUUGGAAAUUUUGAGAAAGGAGAUUAUGUUUCUUUAUCGAGUAAAGGCUUUGAGAAAAUAGUUGAUGUGUUUUUAUCGAGUAAAGACUUUAAAUGAU